rnacentral:rRNA from 1 species
CACGUAGGGUGCGAGCGUUGUCCGGAAUCAUUGGGCGUAAAGAGCGCGUAGGCGGCCCGGUAAGUCCGCUGUGAAAGUCAAGGGCUCAACCCUUGAAUGCCGGUGGAUACUGUCGGGCUAGAGUCCGGAAGAGGCGAGUGGAAUUCCUGGUGUAGCGGUGGAAUGCGCAGAUAUCAGGAGGAACACCAAUAGCGAAGGCAGCUCGCUGGGACGGUACUGACGCUAAGGCGCGAAAGCGUGGGGAGCGAACAGG